AUACAGAGGGCUCGAGCGUUAAUCGGAAUCACUGGGCUUAAAGGGUGCGUAGGCGGGCUUGUAAGUGCCUUGUGAAAUCCCACGGCUCAACCGUGGAACUGCUCGGUAAACUACAAGCCUUGAAGUCGGUAGAGGCUGUCGGAACUCUAGGUGUAGCGGUGAAAUGCGUAGAUAUCUAGAGGAACGCCCAAGGUGAAGACAGGCAGCUGGGCCGAAUCUGACGCUGAGGCGCGAAAGCGUGGGGAGCAAACAGGAUUAGAAACCCCAGUAGUCC
rnacentral:rRNA from 1 species